CUCGUUGUUGUUGUGUCCAUUGCCGUGAUGGUUUUUGUCACCGCAGUGAUCGCUGUUGUUUGCUACAAAGUCAGACAUAAAAACUCAGACACAUCAGGAGAAACUCUGUGUGAGUCAGUGAAACAUGAAGCUCCGGAAACAAGCGGCAUCGUCUACACAACAGUGAACUUCAGGCCUCAGCAGAAACCUGAGGG